AAGUAACUGCACUAAACCUUGAGUUAAGUAGGCUACCCGUAGCAGCUAUUAGCUACAAUAUAAGCUGCGGUGCGCGAGGCGUUCGAUUUAAAUUAACGGUCGGCAACGCUCGUGCCUCUCAACGUUCCUGGAUUGGUGAGACUGUAACUUCAGUACAGUGAAAAACUUACGGGUUUAUCGAAGACAAGUACCUUAACGAGGUACUAUGUAUAUUAGCGUGCAAACUACUGUGCUUUUAUGUUCGCCGCACAACGCAGACGUUUUAUUUUCCACCGUUUCAAACAUUUUUAGAUUACGUUGACGUCGCCGCGAUAUGACAGAGGCUAUUCCUGUAAGUAAACAGUUCAAGUUUUUACUCACAUGUUUCGAUUAGGGGAGAGUGGGAUAAGAUGAGCCAUUUUUCAUAAUUCAGAUCACUACAUCAAUCAUAGUUUUGUUUCUAACUAGUGUAUCUGCAUUUCAAGAUGUUGUGCAUCUCUGCAAACCAACAGAAUGAAUGUAAACAUAACUGUCUUGAUAAUAUAGCAUGCCAAAAAAUGGCUCAACUUACCCCAGAACUACUAUUAUGACUUUAUUAGUCCUCUAAGCUAAAAUGGUGGACUUUAAUGCAAGGUUUUUGACCUCAUGUUGUAGCUCAUAAAAACCCCAAUUGAUGUCUAAAACAAUUUUUAAAUGAUCUUUUUGUUCUGAACACAAUUCUAAUAAAACUUUUGACAGACUAAAAUCAUUUUCCUGAGUAAAUAAUGUUCUUUUGGAAAUAAAUGUCUAAGCCCUUCCCCCAUGUGCUUCUAACCUUCACAGACUCCAUGAAUUGAUGCCCACCUCCUAAAUAUUUGAUCACAUGAUCAAUUUCUUUUACCAUUUCCAAGCAACAGGGGGUGGCUCAACUUACCCUUUGGCUCAACUCACCCCACUCUCCCCUACUGUAGGUAUGUUGACUAUUUGCGUUUUUUCUAAACAUGUAGUUGGGCAGACUGUCAGGUAGUUUCAGAGGAGAAAUUCGCAAUUGCCAUCAUGAAUGUUCUAAACGGCAAAUGGUCGAUGUUUAUGUUGUGAAGAGCUUUUCUAUUUUAAGGCCUUCUAAAUCAAUCCAACUUUUGUCGCCUGCAAAGCAUCCCUGACUGACCUCGCCCAAACAAAGCAGCGGAUUAGUGUCCUGAUUAGCACUUCCAAAGGAAAGUCCGGUCAACAGGUUAGAGGUAAGUUAGAAGUAAAUACAGCAAGUGCUGAACGCUAAAAUCUGAAACAAGCUCCUCAGAUAUUCAUAUGUGAUGUCAAUAUUUGGGCUUUUGUUUUUUAUAGGACUAGCACUGAUAUUCAUGUGUUAACUUUACAAAAUCAAUACUCAAUAUUCACAUCAUUUUUACCCUAAUUUCAAGCCAAUUUAAUUUGUCAAAGAGAAGAUGACAAAAUGAAAAGAUCUUUCUACACUAUCUCACUUUGUACAAAAUAUUUCUCUUGGGUCUUGAAUUUUUAUUUUUUUUAACAUUUUGUAAAUGUCAGUUUAAUGACAAUGCUAAAUAAAAUGCAUAAUAAAACAGAAGUAUUUAAUGAAGGAAUAAUAGAUAAUAUUCAACAUUUCAAAAUAGAAAGACUUUUUUGUCUUCAGGUUUUUCUGGCAUUUAUUAGAGAGGAUAGGACAGAUGUAAAAGGAAACUAGGAGAGAAAGUGUCAAGAGACACAUGAAACUGCUUGGCCUAUGGCACCUUAAAAUGUAAAGGACUUUUAAUCAUGUAUUUGAGUUUAAAAAACACAACACACAUACAUACAUUCCCCCAGGUGUUUCAUUCAUAUGCAAAGUCCUCUGAAUCAAAAUUUACAUGUUCUCAUGUACCAAAACAAAUUAACUGGUAUAUAUUUAAUUGGUAGCCUUCAAAGUAGCCAGCAUGAAUCUUUCACUGCAAGACUGUCCUUACGUUGAUUGCAGAGCGAUGACAUGGAAUCGGUACAUCUGGGUCCUAAACGGUGAGUCACAGCCCUUUACACUACAUCCAUUAUUUAUUUUUUUUAAUAGAUUGUUAUAGCUCAAAAUUUUUAUCCCUUUUUUUAUCCUUUAAAUCCACUCCAUUCAUUCCCCCCAUCUGAGGGGGGACUUUAACUUAAAGCAUCAGCGGGCACGUACAACAUUGAAAAGUUUUUGCGUUUCUGUUUGUGGCUGUUUGUAGGUGUGGAGCUUGAGUGUUGUCCAAGCAUGACCCAGUUUAAAAAGCGGUACAAAAACAUGGUGCUCACCAGGUACAGGGAGGAAGAAGGGCUGUAACGAUCGGGUGUUUUCAUAAAUGAUUAAUGUACUUCUUUACACUAUUAAUGUUUUAUUUUAUUUUUUUAUUUAUUUUUGCUUAUAUAAUGUAAAUAUGCGGGAGACUGACUGGGGUAGCAUAAUGCUUCAUCCUAUUCCUUUUUGGACAUGUUGGGUUCGCAUUGUUAUUAGUAGUAUUUUUUUAUUUUGUUAUUUUUACUUUUUUUGCUUUGAUUAUUGUUGUUUUGAAUAUUAUUCUCACUGGUUUUGUUUGUUUGUUUUCAGUUUACUUUCUUGUGUUGCGCACACAUGUUCGAAAAAAAAAAAAAAUAACUUGACUAAACUUAAAAUUACCAAUGAAGUGUAUGGUGCCAUAUCUAAAAAUUCAAAAAAGAGCAUAUUUUGGUUUGUUUUUUCUGACAGUCCCACAUUCAAGGUUGUAAAAUUGUGAUUAUUUGGCAUCAUUAGUAUAUCUUUUUCAUAGUGUGCAUAUUUACUUGAGAAAAUCCAUGUAAGGGAUAAUGUAUGGUGAGCAAGUUGUUAGGCGAAAGACAAUUUUAACAGGUUGCUUGUCCCACCUUGAGGAGGCUCUAUUUUGCAUAAUAACCAGCGCCAAAAAAGCUGGCUAAAUAUUUUUGAAUGAACGAUUCACUCAAGUUUGCCUUUAUGAUUCAUAACUGAGUGAAAAUCGAACCAUUGUAUCUAACCUCUAACUGUGUUCAAUCACCCAAAAGGCAUCUCCCCAAUGCUAACAUGUGGAGAACUGGAAGGUAAACUGUUUUGACCUCAGUACUUUUUCAGUUUUUUGUGUAUUUUUUAAAUUUUUGCCUGAUAAAAACUUAUUUUUCAAUCAGGUGCUCUGACUGCAACAAACAGAGAUAAACAUGAGAAUAGGUUGGACGGGGCUGAAAUCUGGAUUGAAACCUCUGUAGAGACCAGCAGAGCCAAAGAUUUCAGGUGUGAAAGCUUGACACUUUCCUCUGUAAUAUCAACUGCAUUGAAAUUGGUAAAAGUUUUGCUCUCUUCACUUUUACGUCUUCUUUUCCUGUUUUUUCACAUGCAGGUGUGCGGUCAUCUCUCACAUUCCAAAACGGCAAACAGUUUAUGUCUCAUGUAGCGGGUAAGAAGGGGCGCUAUGUCACUGUGCUGCUUCAAGGAGUAAAGAGGAUUCUUAAUUCUUCUUUCUUCUUCUAUUCUAUCUUAUACUAGUAUUAUAUUCUAUUAUACACUUAUAUUCUCCUGAGGGUACACUUCUAUGUACCCUCUGGAGCUCUGUUGAAAGUGAACCAAAGUAUUCUUUAGCUCUGAAAGAAAGGACAGGAGUUGUUGGAGGUUUUUUUGAUUAAGUAAGGUGCAUGAAGGACACUGAUUGAAGUCCAACUAUCAGGAGUAGACUCAGCAUCUUCCCAUCCUUGUUGACCGUCAACAAAGCCCCAAAGCUUAAGGAUUUGAAUUUAACAAAUUUACUUUGUAAAUUUACUUUGUAGUUAAGUCAGAGUUUGCGUACCUUUUUAUUCACCCAUUUGCAUUGGUGGCAACUCCCGAGAGACAUGCAGGGGUGCUAUACAAUGAUAUCUUGUAUACGUUUUUGUUUAAAAUUUGCUGUCACAUCACCGUAAAUCACUAACUCACUUAGAGGAGCACAGAGUCUUUGGAGUGAUUAUCUAGAGGCACACUCAUACUAGCCCAAGAUGCCUCAUACCGUACCUAAGCACAUGUUUCCCACCUUCCCAGGCCCUACAAAUGAGAAUCCUGGGGCUCAGCAAUGACAGGAUCAUGACUUACUCCGAACAUCAGAAAUAUGUCAGCGUCAUGACAACUUUAACCUCUGCUAUCCAUCCUAUUAUAUAUUGAUUUUAAAACUUGAUAGCUAACAUUAAUGAAUUGCAAGCCAGCCCGAUAACAUAAUCAUAAUCAUUAAUAGUUUUAGCACGAUAGCUAACUACCUGGUAGAUCUGAUGCAUAUUGGCAGUAGCUAUCGGAGUGUCAAUUUAGGUAUUGUUAAUCUUGUCAGAUAAGCUCCUGAAUGAAUAAAUUGAUGUUACUUACUUUA